UCAUCAGGCGGCGCGCAAAAAAAUUCAUUUCUCCUCCCAAACUUCGUACGCAUCAAUCAACCAAAACACCCCUCUCUCUCUUGAAUCCAUAUGAAACCCUAAUCCUCUCUAAGUCCAAGCACGAAUUUUUCGGGAGCUUCGUCUUUGGCGAGUUUCACCUUUAGAGAAAAAUUUCUCAGCAACAAAAGACACAGAAAAAACCCGCAGAAGAUACCGUCAUCUGUAGGCUGACCAGAAUUUAGAAUCUUAAUCUGACGAAGACCAGUGACCUGUGAGCAGCGACCGACGAAGACCAACGACUGGCGAUCAGUGACGAAGACCAACGACCAGUUCUACCAGUGAGCGAGCAAGGACGAAGCUCUCUGCAGGUCUAUUUUUGUUGCUACUGUGAUACCUCAGAUCAGAGGGUAUAAAUGGUAAUUUACAGUGUCUUAAGCCUGGAAAAUACUCUCACGUACUCAGUUUAUCUUCACACAAAAAUUCAGAGGAAAAACACAUUAACAGGUAUUUCAAUCUCAGCCCCAAAAACUGUUCAUAGUUGAUUUCUGCUAAAACCUGCCGUCAAAGGGUAAUUCUGGAAAAUUCGUAGCUGCACAGUCCUUGCUUCAAUUUCUUAAAACUUGAAUCACAUAUAUAAACUUGCUCAAAUGAUGGACAGGACUUAUUUAGCAAGAUAUAUUAGAGUUUCUUCACAACACAAGUUGAAACAGCCAAAAACCCUAGUGUACAAGGGUUUUACUUUCUGAGAUGAACCACAGGUUGUACACCUUUGAUAAAUCAUUGUAAGCAUGUUCAAGAGUUAAUGAACCAUGUAAUAUCAAGAUUCAGCUCAGUUAAGUACAAUCACAGCAGCUAUGCACCAGAAAAUCAAAUUAAAGCAGGUUUGAGAUAUGAAAAGUAAUACCAACUUAAUCUUCGUUGAGUGGGUUCCUUCUACAGAUGUAAAAGCCUUAAAUGCACAUGCUCAGCCCUUUUUCCAGCCCAAGAAAUAAUCACCAAUAAUUUUCACCUCCACAGCCUUUGUAUUGUACUAGAAAAACAAACUGCUUUCAGCCCUCUGUGAAUACCUGUGAGAUGCUCAUUUUCUACUAAAUUGAAAGUUGAUUUUCAGCUCAAAUGAUCAUUUAAAAUCUCUGUGAACCUCUCUCAUUCUUUGGUCUCGAGUCCUCUUUAGCACAGCGUCUCAAAAGGGCUUGUUUCUGUGCUUACUUUCUGCAGCUGCUAUAACAGCAUAUAUAUACCAAGAAAUUGCUGCCCUAGUGUGGAUAAGUAUAUUCCAUCACUGGCCAAUCGUAGAUACUAAUAUAUUCUGACAUUGUAUACAUUGAAUAGACCAAAAAACCCCUGUGCAACCCUAGCUUGUGUCACACAAACCACCUUUUCUGCAGCCUACUUUAGUCAUUGUACAAUGCUGAUACACACAGCUGAGAAUACACGUUUCUGUCAUUUUCCUCUCCCUCUACGACCACAGUGCACGUGGCACUAUAUUGUGAAUCCGUCAUUACGCCAAAAAUAACAUUGAAGUACCAGAAAUGCCCUCACAACGGGGCUGUAUUUGCUGUCACUUGUAUAAGAUCAGUUUAUCCUUAAGUAACAUUACAGAUGAGUAAUGUAGUAUUCUUAGCAUAUAUAGAAAGGUUGCAUACACCUGUGGAAGGACCAAAUUGCCCCUUGCAGAUGGCUAAUCUUAAAACCCAUGUCCUUUGUCAUUAAAAUGAUGUACACCAUAUUGUUUGAUUAAAGUAAGCUAGUUCAAUUGACAGUCUCUGAGUGGAGGUGACCUGAGUUUGUCAACAAUGCAGCUUGAAAAAACUAGAAACUGCAAUUUAAGAGCUUUGAAUGAUGAAUUGAACCUCUCUGCUGCAAACCCUAGAAUGUAUGGUUCAAUAGACCAACCCUACAAUGUGUCUUUCACAGCCUUGUAUUGCAAAGAUAAACUUGCCCAGAUAUAAAACUGAACACUUUCAGUAAGGUAAACCAUAUUUUGAAAAGAGUAGGCUCAACAAUACUCCAAACCACAGCUUUCAAGGUUUGUGAAAUCCUUCUUUGAUAUAACUUCAAAACAUCCUCAAAUAGAAUACCCUUAGCUUUGCCUAAUCAUAUUAGACUUGCUCAUAUCUUCAACACACAAUGCAAUGUAAGUUAAUAUCACAAUAUAGAAACAUAACAGAUUCAGCAGAGCUUCUGCAGAAACACUUGUUCUCCAAGGAUAAAAUGGGAAACCAUAACAGUGCAGACAUGACUUCUAUUCCUUUAAUCAUAUAUUAGAAACCAUGUGAUUAUCUUAGAAGUAACAGCAUGCUAUAACAUUUUCAGCACUCAGUAGAAGUAAAAGACCUGAUUAGUAUAGGUUUGAGGAAUGAAUACUUGCAACAGCUUGAUUAUAGACAAAUGAGCAUCUUCAACAGUUGAGAAAUGAUGAAAUACAUUUGCUCAUGCCAUGGCUAGCACCAGAAUUGAUCUCUGCAAUUUGGACUCCCUUUAGCUUCUUCUUUUCAGCUCAAAACUAGUAACUCAGACGUUCAUUUUGAUUUUUAGUGACUUCAAGCUAGCUUGGCUUUUCAAACCAAAUUCUAGUAAUAGAAAAAUAUCUUCAUAAGACCUUCCUUGUCUCUUAGUGGAGGAGGUCGAGGAGAGACAACUGAGAGGCUUAUUUGACCUGAAGAGUGAUAAUUGAAAUUUGUAAGAGAAGUCUCCUUCCUCCAAAGCUAAACACAAAAGUUUUAUGAACUCCUUCUGUGAAUGACACCUGUAUGAACACUAUGGUGUGACUUGUCUCUUAGAGGCAAUGGUCUUGAACACUCUAUUAAUGAAGCUAUUUAUGUAAGAGUAAAACAUUGAGAAUCUUCUGCAACUUUAAGCUUCUUGUUGAUAGAAAUUUCAUUGUACUUUCAGUAUGCUAAUCUCAUGUGGCUCAGUGAAUUUCUAAUUUUGAUGUGAGAAUUUUUUGCCUUAACAAUUCUGAUAGACCAUAAGAUUGAACAGCCUUGAUUGAUCCUGAUAUUCUUCAAAACACCUUUGUGAUCAAAACUUGUUAAUUGAAUGGUGUUGACCUUCAUAUUCAUGAAAAAAUUUCUUGUGCAAAUUCUGACUUUUGGUUUUGAACCAUGUUUUCUUUGAUCUUGUGAGAGGGAACAAUCUUCACUAUGCUUUGACUUAGAUUCAUUGCCCAUCUUAGUGCUUAACAUAGAUCUUCUAGGCUUGAGAUUCAGUGUGUAGAAGACAAUGAGAGAUAAUGAGAAUGCAGUGGAGAGAUGUGUCUUAACAUACUUGGAAAAACUAUUCUGAGAACACUCUCUUUGAUCUUCAUCAGUUUCAGAUACAAGUAACAACUUUCCAACUCUAUCUUCUUCAGUGUGUUGUAUAUCUCCAUGUCUUGUUUUAAGAGAGUCCCAAACAUCUUUAGCUGUUUUGCAGUCCUUAACUUUGAUAAGCUCUUGCUGUUGUAAACCACUGAAUAGAACUUGUCUUGCCUUAACAUCACUUGUCAUAUAUGUAUUGUCAAGAGAGUGGACAUUGUUACCUUGAAGCACCAUUAAACCCUUUGUAGUGGCUGCCCACACAUCAUAUGAGUGUGACAUUAGAUAAGCUUCCAUUUCAAUCUUCCAAUCCUCAUAGCAUGACUCAUUGAACCUUGGAGCCUCAUCAACACAUUGACCUUCCAUUUUGUUUCAAGAUCUUUUCAGCAGUCUUGUAAUCAGUAAUAUAUCAAUUUGGAUGUCUCUUAUGUUUGUUUAGGAAAAGUAUAGGUUUGAAAUUUAUGGAGAGAAUUAUAAUGGUAGGAAAUGCUAGUCAUGGGAACUUUAUAGGGACUAGUUAAGAAGAUAUAUCUUUUAUUGUAUUCGGCUAAUGACUAUGGUGUUUCAGGUGUUUGUUUGUUGUGGUAAAGUGUUUAACAAUGACAGGCUUUGGGUUUUGUAAAUGAUCAAGAAAAUGAUAUUACUGAUUAAGUGAUUAUAUAUGAAGUUGCUUCCAGAUUGAAAUUGAUUUGAGUAAAUUAUUUCUUAUAGUUGGAGAUAAUUCAUUUGCUACACCAGGCUGAUAUGACUAUCUAAUACUCCGUAUCUGGUCCAUGAACUAAGCAUGGUUAGCAACUUAGUAUUUUGAGUGCAUGAUCAAGACAUCCUCCCAGAACAACAUUCUAAAUCUACUUCUACUUAAUUUAUUUAAACUGUUAGGAUCUUACUUGGUAAUAUUUACUUUAGUUGAUGAGCUCUUUUCCAAGGUAUUUUUUUAUUACAAAAAAAUUUGCCAAAAAAAGCGUAUCUUUCUUCUCCCUGUGCUGUUUUUUUCCCUUUCAUUCGACAAUAGAUGAAUUAGAAUUGAGGAAAGUUAAGUAGCUACAUCAUAGUAGCUAUAUAUGUUGAGGGCUCCCAUAUUUCUUUAAUUGUAAUUUUACAUGUAAUUUGGGUUUUCUAAAUCACCUUGGUUGUGCAGGUGGUUCUUUGUUUAUUGGAGAAGUUAAUAAUGCUUAAUCUUUAGCAUUAGUUAUUGUAAUAAUUUUAUUUUUUUAAUUCAACUAAAUACUGGCUAAAUCUAUUAAGCUGAAUUGCAAUGUUUCUUUCUUUCUAGACGGUCUACUUUACAGACUCAUGUUUUGCUUUCUUUCUUCAGAAUUUCCUUUUAUUAUAUUUUCAACACAUGUUGUUCAAGUACUUGUUGACCUUAAGGAUUUUAUCCAAUGACAAUCUAGGUGUUUUGAUGAUAACAAACCAUUAAUGGUGUUUAAGGACUAAUGUUUACAUUGAGUGUUAUAUAGAUUAUUCACAUUCAAAGAAUGACCUCAAUGAAGCACUAAAGAUCAUUCAAAGUAUUCCAUUAUUCAAGAUCACAUCAAGGAAAGAAAUGGAUACAAUGAAGACAUGAAGUUGCAAUGAACAAAAUGCAAUGUCCAAAGAUAGCUUGGACUUCAAUGAGCAAGAAAACAACUCAAAGGAAGAAAGAAAACAAUACUACCUCAAGCCUAAACGAUCAUGGACAAUGCAUGAAGAAAAGGGGUAGAUAGGAUGGUGAGUGUUUUGGAUUCAAUGUCAAAGUAUUUAUGAAUCCAUUUGAAGCUCAUCUCUAUAGGAUCAUGCAUAUUAUCAUCACUCACAUAUUCUUAUAUCCUUAGUAAUAGACUUUGCACUUCAUUCAUAGAUAUUGUCAUAUGAAGUUUUUGCUAAGAAAGGGUUAGUUCAAGCUUGCAUAAGCUUUGAAAGAACUCGCAACUUGAGCUAGAAAUGCUAGGACCAUGCACAUUAAUCAUAAGAUUUAUUUUGGUGUCUAGAAAGAAAAGGAAAAGGCAUUGAACUUAAUAUUUCAUCUUUAAAGCCUUUGUUGCCAUAAUUUAGUAAAUGACUCUAGGACACAAUGAACUUGAUAUUUAUCAUCCUUAUAUGUCCCUAGACUCUUAGAAAUAGGUCUUGAACUAAAUUGAAUCAUUCAUCAAAGUCCUAGGUGCUAGAAAGAUGGUUAUCUCAAAAGAAGCAAUUUUCAGCCCAGAAAAUUUCCAGACCAGCCUAUGCUAAAACUGCUAUAACUAUUUUUUGUAGUUGGAAUUUUUAAGUAAGGCUAGGUGCAUUAGAAAACUGACUUCGAUCUCUUGAGUUUAGACUCAAAUUUCACCUAAAAAGGAUUUGAAUUGAAUGAGAUAUGAGCAUUACAAAAUGCAUAUCUCUGGUCUGCGAAAAUUUUGACCAGGUUGCACUAAAACGACCAUAAUCAUUUCUGUGGUUAUAAUUUUUGAGCAAGGCCAGUGGAUUUAGAAAGCUGACUUCAAGGCAAUAAAUUUAGACUUAAAUUUCACCUCAUUUGGAGUUUCAUGGACUGAGUUAUGUCCAUUUGAAGUCAUGCCAUUUUCUGUCAAAAUCUAAAACAUUAAAACUAAAGCAAGCACAUUUUAUCAAUUGGAGCUGCCUCCCAAUUAUAGGAGCCGCCUCUUUGCACUCCAGUAGCCAAAUUGUGUGUUGUAGAAUGCAUUUUGUGAAUUGGAGCCGCCUCCCAUUUAUUGGAGCCUCCUCCAAUUUUUUGUAGAGCCGGCUCUUCUAAGUUAUUUGAAUCUACAACGGCACUUUUCUGUAUUUAAGUCUUCCAAUUACUUCUAACAGACAUAUUAAGCUACGGCUGUCUAUAUAAGGAAGGCCAUUUUUGAGAGACAUAAUAUUACAUUUCAAGAGAGCUUUUGUUCUCUCAUCUUCUCUUCUCUCUCAUUUCACUCUUAUUCUAUUUUGAGAGAUUUAAUUAAGCACUUAAAGGGCUUUUGCUCUAACUUUUAUCUUCAUAGAGUUUUUUCUCUAUUAUACACUUGAGAGAUUGUAAAAGCUUAUUUUCUUCACAUAUUUCAUCUUCUCUCAUUCAUUUCAUUCAUAGAAUUUGAGCUUCAAUCUAUUCAUCUAUACUCUAGUUGUGAGCCUUGAUUUGCAUAUCAAUCUUUUGAGAGAUAUAUUUGUAUGCAACAAAAUUGAGCUUCAAUUUGUAAAGGCUUGUGUGGCCUAAGGAAGAAGAAGCAAGUUAGCUUCAAUUUGUAAGGGUUGGUGUGACCCAUAGGAAGACUAAGAGGGGUUGUUCUCUUAGCAAGGUGAAACAAGGAGUUACUUCUUGUAAAUGUUUGCUCUCCACCCGUAAGGAGGUGCACUAGUGGAUUGGGAAGUCUCAAGAGGAGUCUUGAGCCGAGGAGUAGGAGUUUCCGAACCUCGCUAAAAUCGCCGAGUCAUUGUUUGAAAUUUCUCUUCCCUUAUCUCUUUUACAAUUAUGCUAUUAAUUGUUUAAUUUAAUUAUUGCAUAAUUGUUUAAGUUGUUGAUUAGAAAUUAUAAAUCUAUAAAUUACGAAAAUUGGCCAUUGACUCUAUUCACCCCCCCUCUAGAGUCAAUUCUUGGUUAACAAUUGGUAUCAGAGCCUAACUCUAUUUAAAGGACUUAAUCGUCUUAGAGUACGAUCAUGGCCAACAAUGGUAGUAUCACACACUUAAAAGGACAUUCCAAUGAUCAACCUCCUUGUUUUGAUGGAAAUGAUUAAAUCUAUUGGAAAAUUAGAAUAAGAGCCUUUCUAAAAAGUAUUGAUAUUGACUUAUGGAAAGUUAUUGAAAAUGGUGAUCAUAUCUCAACCAAAGUUAUUGAAGGAAAUGAAAAUCCUAAAUCAAAAAGUGAAUGGGAUGAAAAUGAUCAUAGAUUAGUUCAAUGUAAUGCUUUAGCCACAUGUUAUCUUUAUUGUGCAUUAAGCAAAAAUGCGUUCAACAAAAUUAUCUUUUGUAAAACGGCUAAAGAAAUUUGGAACUCACUUGAAUUAGCAUAUGGAGGAUCAAUUAGUGGUAAGGAAUCAUAUAUGCCUAUGCUUAUUGAAAAAGAUGUAUCUUCCAUCAUAAAUGAAAAUAAAUCAAGUUGUGAGAUGCAUUCUUGUUCUUCUAACAUUACUAAUCAUUUGAAUUUUCUUAGUAGAACUUACUCUUCUUCCUAUAGUGAAGAAAAUGAAACAACUCAAAAGAUGAGUAUAGUUCUCCAAGCGUCUAGCAGAGAAGCAAAUGGCAUCAAAGAGUUGGACAAACUUUGUCUCAUGGCCAAUGAAGAUGAGGUAGAUUCUAAUCAUGAAUUUUUUGAUUUAGAAGCCUUUUAUAAUGAACUAGUUGAUGCACACAAUGAAUUACUUGAUGCAUUUAAAGAGUUACAAGGUGUGUUAGAAAAGAUGCUUGUUAAAUGUGCUUCAUUUAAAAAGGAAAACCAUGAUCUCUUUCAAAGACAUGAAAAAGUUCAAAUGGAAAUUGACUCUUUGAAAAAGGAAAAUCAUUGUCUUGUGCAAGAAUUAGAAAAGAUUCAAAUUGAAAAUGAGUCAUUGAAAAAUGAAAUGAAAUGUGUAUUUUUUAAAGAGUCGUCAUCAAUUGACUUUGUUUUCGAAAAUGAGUCUCUAAAGAAAAUAAUUCAAGAUCAAAAUGACAUUUUAACAAAGCUUACCAAAGAAAAAGAGAAUUUGAGUACUCUACUUAGAAAUUAAAGAGAUUUCUUUUUCAAAAAUGAGAUACAAUAUGUUCCUCACACUAAAGAUGCAUGUUUGUUAAGAAUAAAAAGGCCUUUGCAUGAUCAUUUUGUCAAGAGUGGUACCCAAACCUUUAAAUGCAAUUAUUGUAAAAUAUUAGGACAUAAGAUUCAUGAUUGUUCAUUUAGAAAGAAAUUGAGGUCAAAGAAGAUUUGGGUUCCAAAAGGAACUUAUGUUCCAUUGCCUAACUUAUAUGGACCCAAGAAACUUUGGGUACCAAAAGAAGAAUAUGCAACCCUUUCUUAUAAGGUUACUUGAGGGCAUCAAUUAAGAAUUAUGAAGGAAGUAUCACACUUGGGAACAACUUCAAGGGCAAGGAUAAGUGGAUUCUCAAGUUGGUGCCUAGAGCACAAAAGAGAUAUCAUGCCUAGAUUUUUUCUCACUCACAAAAUGGAAAGGAUGCAUCACUUUGAGAAACUACCACCAAGCUAAUGAAGUUAGUACCAUGGGUAACUAAUUUCUUUCUCAUAAAUAUGCUUUUAUAUGAAGAAUUCAGUCAUGAAAUUCUAAGUAUGAUGCUUUUGAUAUGCUACUUAUUCCUAAUAGAUGUAAAAAUGUCUAUGUUUUGAUAUUUUGCAUAAAAGUAGUUUUGGCAUAUGAGUUAUGAACAUGCUAACAUGAAAUGAUUCUCUAUCUUUCAAAUGAUCUUUAGAUUAACUAUGCCAAAUCUUUGUGAAAGAGUUAUUGGAAGAUAUGCCAUCAAAUGAAAGCAUACAUUAUCUAAUAUAGAUCAUCAAUGCUAUUUCAUGUGAACCUUAUCAAAUGUAUAAAAAGUCAUCUAUAUACUUUUUUGAUCUUAAAUGUUUUAUCUAUACUUAAUUGUGUCACUUCCAUGCAUAUAGAAAAUGAGGUUGUUCAAUUUGAAAAGGUUUAGAUGGGCUUGAGAAAUGAUAAAUCAUAUAGGUCCUAUCUUGAAUACCUAAAGGAACAAAUCUCAUUGGAAGAGCCAUCUCAUUAAAAUGAAAAAUGAGAAUUUAUAUUGUCUUCCUAAGAGUUGAAGUGUUCACCACCAUCCAUUUGAGCAUUCAUUGAUGAAUACUCUAUUGUGCUAAUUAAAGGAACUAAUUCUUUCUUAAAGUUGUUAUUCAUCUUGUUCUUUUACAAUCAAAUUAUAAUAGGUAUCUUGAGUUAUCAUUGGUAACUAAGCUAGACUAUUCCUAAGAUAUCCACCAAAAAGGAGAAAUUAAUUCUAUGCCUUUGUGCACAUGUGAUUUUGGAUUGAAGAAAUAAAAAUGCUACAUGUUUUUGCAUGAAAUGAUUUUUAUCAAAUGCAUCUUUUCAGUAAGUUUAAAUUCAAAGGUCUUUAAAAAUAAACCACACAGAUUUAAAUUGCAUAUAUUUUGAACUAUAUGUUUAAAAUGAUCUAUAGCCUAUGUGUUUAAAAAUAAGCUCCUAGAGCUCCUUUCAAAAGGCUUUGUGGGUUUCUAAAGAAUGAUGGCAUUUGAACAAACUUAAUAUCUUCAUAUAUUAUAGCUUUCAAAACCAUUGCUGAAAAUAUGUUGAUUGCACUUAAACUUUAUCCUUGAAUCAACAUUCACGAUUUACGCAAAGAUGUUUACCACUAGCAUGCAAAAUGAUUUAACUUAGCAUGUUGAGUAAACAUGAAUUCUUCUAAGGAUUAAAACUCCUUAAGUAUUAUAAAAAUAAAAUUCAUAUAUCUAUUUGACAAUUUAGUCUUGGGAAUAAGUUAUUCAAAUAACAAUUUGUUCUAGCUUAGAUGACUAAUGUGAUAAUUCAAGUGUAAUAUGCAUUUCUAAAAAUCCUAUUCAGCAUUCAAGGACAAAGCAUAUAGAAAUUAGAUACCAUUUUCUUAGGGAUCAUGUUUCUAAGGGCAACAUUGAUCUUAUAUUUGUAAAUACUGGAAAACAAAUUGGCUGACAUCUUCACAAAACCACUCCAAGAGGAUAGAUUUUGUUUGCUUAGAAGGGAAAUUGGAAUGAUCACAGAUCAGAAUGUCAUGCAGUGAAGUAGCAGUAGCAGAGCCGGCUCUAAUCUAAUUAAGAGCCGCCUCUACAGAGAAUAAGAGCCGGAUCAACUCAUUCAAGAGCCGCCUCUCUAACCUGCAUCCAAGAAAAUCACAAUUUCAUGCACUCGGCAUCUCUAGAGCCGGAUCAACAAAUUUCAUGAGCCGGCUCCCCAAAACCUGCAUCCAAUUUCUUUGUCUCGGGAUCUCUCAAAGACUCAAAAGAGCUGGCUCCAAAAACAUCAAGAGCCGGCUCCAAAAAUCAAGAGCUGGCUCCAAUUCCACAUGAGCCGGCUCCAAUCCAUUGUCCCUCAUUUUAAUACCUCAGCAAUAGGUUUUUUUAAAAUAAACCAUCUUCAUUCCAGAGAGCAUUUUGGCUAAGCAACAUUUCAUCUUUCUUGGGCAUCUUCACAAGUAAGUUUCUUUCAUCAAAUUUCCUUUAAAGUUCUUGUGUUCUAGCUUUUUAGAUGAACCUUCAGUGAUUAAUUUUUGAAAUUCAUCACUUUUAAUCCAUCAUUCACUAAACCUUGGUACACACUGUAGCUUUUCUCUCUCACAUGUAAAAGACUCAUUCUAAUGAGAAUUGCUUAAUCUAUGGUUUCAAUUACCUUUUGAAAAUUUCAAAUUUCUAGUAUUUAUGCAGAAACUACCAUGUGUCUUUUGUUUAAUCUAUUAAUUCAUUAUAUAUAGAUCAAAUUUUAUAGACAUAUUGCAUAAAGUUUAUUAUCAAACCCCAUCUGUUUUGAAUUUAUCUUUGAAUAAGUUCUAAACAUGUGUUGUUUAUGGUUCAUUUGGGCAGUGUGUUGCAAGGUUCUAUUGAAUUUAUAUGCUUUUGUGAUUCUAAUUGCGUAUCUACAUUUUAUUGGUAUCACUUCUUGCAUAUAUGAAAUGAGGUUUUUCAGACUUAAAAAUGUUUAUAUGGACUUGAGAUAAUGAGAAAUCAAAUAAGUCCUCUGUUAAGAUCCUCAAGGAUAAAAUCUUCUUUGAAGAGCCAUUUCAUGAGAAGUAAGAAUAGGAAUUUAUAAUGCAUUCCUUAAAAUUGUUGAAGUUUUCAUUUUCAUCACUUUAAUCAAUCAUUGGUGAAUAUUCUAUAAUGGCUUACUAGAGAAACUAAUUUUUUUGUUAUGUUUUUUACUUUGCUCUUAUACUAUGAAAAUCUACAUCAUAGUAGGUAUUAUGGGUCAUUCUUGAUAACAAUUGGCAUAAUUAUAAUUAUCCUUAGACAUAAUUAUUUAUUAUGAUAAUCUCAUCAUGAUACUCAUCUUAAAAUGUUUAUAUGAAGAUUUUCAUAAAAAGUGGCUUGUUUUGGAUUAUGUGAUUUGAAUUUGCUAGCAUGAUUCAACUCUCUAUCUUAUCACGUUAUGUCAUUGCUUUAUUGUUCCAUUAGUUGGACAAUCAUUGAAUAAUAUAUGAUGGGAGCAUGUUCAUAGGGGGAGAUUAUCAAUAAUCUCUUAUGUAUAAACAUUACAUGUUAUACUAAGCUUAAAGGACUUAUCUUGUAUUUUGUUAAACAUGUCUUAAAAUGACUUAUUGGUCAUUAUAUUCAUUCUUAUGAACUUUCAUGAUUUUGAUGAUAUUUUCCUCUUUCUUGAGGAUAUCAAAUAUGAAGAAAUAUAUUAGGGUAGAAGUAGUCUUGAGUUCUAAAAUUUGCCUCUAAAAGGUUGUUUGCCUUUAGGCUUAUUCUAGUUUAUGCUUCAUUUUUGUUUCAUGUUUGAUUAUGUAUACUUUUGUAUAUGACAUGAACCUUAAAUGAUGAUUCGAACUCAUGUUGUCAAUGAAAUUGGCCUCUUAUGAUAUAAUUGCUUAUAUGUUUCAUCCUAAAACAUAUUAUAGUAACAACUACUAUUGCCAAUUCUUGAUUAUCAUUACAUCACCAUGUCAAUUCUCUAUGCUAAAUGAUCAAUACUAAAAGAAGAUGUCUUGACCUCCCACCUUUUUGAGAUGCCAAAGGGGGAGAGAAAUGUGAUGUGUUAAAUGAUCUAAAAUGAUUUAUGAUAUAUCAAACAUGCCAUUUUAUAACAUUAUGUUCAAUGAAUGCACUUUGAUAGGGGGGAGCAUUUUUCAAAUGCUACUCCAUUUGCUUAUGAACACAUCAAUGUUUUGUCAUCAUCAAAAAGGGGGAGAUUGUUGACCUUAAGGGUUUUAUCCAAUGACAAUCUAGGUGUUUUGAUGAUAACAAACCAUUAAUGGUGUUUAAGGACUAAUGUUUAUAUUGAGUGUUAUAUAGAUUAUUCACAUUCAAAGAAUGACCUCAAUGAAGCACUAAAGAUCAUUCAAAGUAUUCCAUUAUUCAAGAUCACAUUAAGGAAAGAAAUGGAUACAAUGAAGACAUGAAGUUGCAAGGAACAAAAUGCAAUGUCCAAAGAUAGCUUGGACUUCAAUGAGCAAGAAAACAACUCAAAGGAAGAAAGAAAGCAAUACUACCUCAAGCCUAAACGAUCAUGGACAAUGCAUGAAGAAAAGGGGUAGAUAGGAUGGUUGCAUUGGAUUUAACUGAAGACGAGAAGCAAUAGCUUCAAAUUGUGGAAGAUGAGGAUGGCAGUUACAUUUAGCUGCUUGGAGUCUUGCCAUGAAUGCUUUGGAGGGAAAGUUUUUUCAAUCUGAGCGUGAUGGGAAAUGCCCUGGUUGUGUUGGUAUUGAAACUUUUCUAAUCCUUGUACAGAUGGUAACAAUGAAGGGAACUUUGUAAUCUUUAAUGAAUAUAAAAUAAAUUUGGGAUCUAUUUGUUUGUGAUUAGUGGGAUGUAGAUGUAAAUUUUUAUUUUGAUAUGACUUGCAACUCUUUUUCAUCUUGUAUCAUAUUGUUUGUAUAAGGCUUGGUGUGGAUAUAUAUACCUUUGGAUGGAUUUAUUGUUGUGUUUA